UUCUUUUAUCAACCGCAAGCAGGCAGCUUUUGGAACGAUACAGAGAAGAUUAGCAUGGCCCCUACGCAAGGAUGACACGCAUAAAUCGAGAAAUUGUCCAAAUAUAA